rfam:Oryza sativa Japonica Group DNA, chromosome 2, cultivar: Nipponbare, complete sequence.
AAUAAGUAUAGUUUUAGUAUUAUUUAUAUUCAACGUUUGACCAUUCGUCUUAUUUAAAAAAAAUUACGAUUAAUAUUUUUAUUGUUAUUAGAUGAUAAAACAUAAAUAGUAUUUUAUGUGUGACUAAUUUUUUAAAUAUUUUCUAUAAAUUUUUUAAAUAAGACGGAUGGUCAAAGCGCUAAAUACUAAUAUCUAUGGCUGCACUUAUU